rnacentral:rRNA from 1 species
GAUGAACGCUGGCGGCGUGCCUAAUACAUGCAAGUCGAGCGAACGGACGAGAAGCUUGCUUCUCUGAUGUUAGCGGCGGACGGGUGAGUAACACGUGGAUAACCUACCUAUAAGACUGGGAUAACUUCGGGAAACCGGAGCUAAUACCGGAUAAUAUUUUGAACCGCAUGGUUCAAAAGUGAAAGACGGUCUUGCUGUCACUUAUAGAUGGAUCCGCGCUGCAUUAGCUAGUUGGUAAGGUAACGGCUUACCUAGGCAACGAUGCAUAGCCGACCUGAGAGGGUGAUCGGCCACACUGGAACUGAGACACGGUCCAGACUCCUACGGGAGGCAGCAGUAGGGAAUCUUCCGCAAUGGGCGAAAGCCUGACGGAGCAACGCCGCGUGAGUGAUGAAGGUCUUCGGAUCGUAAAACUCUGUUAUUAGGGAAGAACAUAUGUGUAAGUAACUGUGCACAUCUUGACGGUACCUAAUCAGAAAGCCACGGCUAACUACGUGCCAGCAGCCGCGGUAAUACGUAGGUGGCAAGCGUUAUCCGGAAUUAUUGGGCGUAAAGCGCGCGUAGGCGGUUUUUUAAGUCUGAUGUGAAAGCCCACGGCUCAACCGUGGAGGGUCAUUGGAAACUGGAAAACUUGAGUGCAGAAGAGGAAAGUGGAAUUCCAUGUGUAGCGGUGAAAUGCGCAGAGAUAUGGAGGAACACCAGUGGCGAAGGCGACUUUCUGGUCUGUAACUGACGCUGAUGUGCGAAAGCGUGGGGAUCAAACAGGAUUAGAUACCCUGGUAGUCCACGCCGUAAACGAUGAGUGCUAAGUGUUAGGGGGUUUCCGCCCCUUAGUGCUGCAGCUAACGCAUUAAGCACUCCGCCUGGGGAGUACGACCGCAAGGUUGAAACUCAAAGGAAUUGACGGGGACCCGCACAAGCGGUGGAGCAUGUGGUUUAAUUCGAAGCAACGCGAAGAACCUUACCAAAUCUUGACAUCCUUUGACAACUCUAGAGAUAGAGCUUUCCCCUUCGGGGGACAAAGUGACAGGUGGUGCAUGGUUGUCGUCAGCUCGUGUCGUGAGAUGUUGGGUUAAGUCCCGCAACGAGCGCAACCCUUAAGCUUAGUUGCCAUCAUUAAGUUGGGCACUCUAAGUUGACUGCCGGUGACAAACCGGAGGAAGGUGGGGAUGACGUCAAAUCAUCAUGCCCCUUAUGAUUUGGGCUACACACGUGCUACAAUGGACAAUACAAAGGGCAGCGAAACCGCGAGGUCAAGCAAAUCCCAUAAAGUUGUUCUCAGUUCGGAUUGUAGUCUGCAACUCGACUACAUGAAGCUGGAAUCGCUAGUAAUCGUAGAUCAGCAUGCUACGGUGAAUACGUUCCCGGGUCU